AGUGAACGCUGGCGGUAGGCCUAACACAUGCAAGUCGAACGGCAGCACAGUAAGAGCUUGCUCUUACGGGUGGCGAGUGGCGGACGGGUGAGGAAUACAUCGGACUCUACUUUUUCGUGGGGGAUAACGUAGGGAAACUUACGCUAAUACCGCAUACUACCUACGGGUGAAAGCAGGGGAUCUUCGGACCUUGCGCGAUUGAAUGCGCCGAUGUCGGAUUAGCUAGUUGGCGGGGUAAAGGCCCUCCAAGGCGACGAUCCGUAGCUGGUCUGAGAGGAUGAUCAGCCACACUGGAACUGAGACACGGUCCAGACUCCUACGGGAGGCAGCAGUGGGGAAUAUUGGACAAUGGGCGCAAGCCUGAUCCAGCCAUACCGCGUGGGUGAAGAAGGCCUUCGGGUUGUAAAGCCCUUUUGUUGGGAAAGAAAAGCAGAAGGUUAAUACCCCGCUGUUCUGACGGUACCCAAAGAAUAAGCACCGGCUAACUUCGUG
rnacentral:rRNA from 1 species